GUGUGGGGAACAGCUUAUGGCCACAUCCUGAUGGGCAGAGGACAUGCUACACCUGCUGUCCCCUGGGAAAGUUUAAGACUAUGCCCAUUGGAAAGCCUUCAUGGGGUCCUCCAUAAGUCCUGGGGAGAUGAAUGCCAAGACAUUAGGGCUACAAACAUGAGCUUAUAUGAGGUAAAAGAUGCCCUGAUUUCUUCCUGGGGAAAAAGAGAACAGUAGGUGCUUCUCUACCUGGGGAUUAGAACAAACUCAUCAUCAGCUGAGUUAGUUCAAUGGCUGAGAUGAGAAGCACAGCACCAAUUUGGACUUCCUCACCC
rnacentral:lncRNA from 1 species